rnacentral:lncRNA from 1 species
GGUUCCUGGGGCAGGGUUUUGAUCAAAGCCUGUGGCUCUUCAGUUCAUUGUGUUCUCUUCAGCGAAGCUGUCACUGUUCUUUUUCUUUUACGUCUUUUAAGGGAAGUACUUCUUUGCACAGGAAUUCAGUUCAACAAACACUUUCUAGUGUCAAUUGUGGUAACUUUUUUGUGCUAAGUGCAAGAGAAAAAUAAAGAUGAAUAAAACAUAGUCUGUGUCCUUGAAGGGGUCACGAGUUAGUGAGAGAGACAGACUUGGACACGACUAAUGGUGAUGAAAAUCAGGCUGUGAUAAAUACUUUAAAAGAGAUAUUCAAAGAGAGAGCACUAUGGGAGAAUGGGACAGAGAAAACCAUGUUCUGGAUCUAAUGGGAAUGUUUGCAGCUUGUCACUUUUCUGAGAGAUGCUUCUCCAAAUAGUAUCCGAAGAAUGCCGACUUCCAAGCUUCUUCCACCAUGUGAACUGCUGACUUAGAAGCCAUAAUUUCCAACUAGAAAUAUAGGUGAAAGAAUACAUGGAUGAUCGUGCCCAUCUCUCAGGACUCAAGCCCAGAAAUGAGGUAGUUGAAAAUCAGAGAGUUCAAGAUUCCAGCGUGAGUACACACAGCAAAGAAGUUACAGCGCCGGUAUGCAAAUGAAAGACAGAUUCCAAGACCCCCGUUAUUUCCUUUUUAUCAUCUUUCCAACCAGCCUUUGUCACACACUCUUCUUAUGACAUGAUCCUGGCCAAAACAGUCUCAUGAGCUAAAGCUUUG